GGCUGCAACUCGCCUACAUGAAGUCGGAAUCGCUAGUAAUCGCGGAUCAGCAUGCCGCGGUGAAUACGUUCCCGGGCCUUGUACACACCGCCCGUCACACCAUGAGAGUUUGUAACACCCAAAGCCGGUGGGGUAACCUUUUGGAGCCAGCCGUCUAAGGUGGGACAGAUGAUUAGGGUGAAGUCGUAACAAGGUACC
rnacentral:rRNA from 1 species